ensembl:lncRNA EIF3J-DT EIF3J divergent transcript
CGCCGUGCUCAGAAGAGGGCUCUGAGGCCACGCCCGCCUGUGGGGUCGGUGGCCGGGCUUCCGGGACCCCAGAGGGAGUCGUCGCGCGCUAGGUGGAGGGGACCCCUCUGGAAUCCGGCGAUCCCCGGGCGCAGAUGCAGGAGCGGGUGGGGAGAGCCGCGUUCCUGGCAUGUUUGCCUCGAGUUAGUCACGAAGGAAUCGAAGAGAGCCUUAGUCUUCGAGGCUUUUCCCUUCCUGUGAGCCCCUUUGAGGCCAGCACAUUGAUUUUUUUUUCUUUCGCAGAACAAUUUCGGACCUCCUGGGGUCUAUGCUAGGUAUGAGGUGUAUCUUUGCCCUCCAUCAAGUAGCAAAGAUGGACAUGUAAACAAAUUUCGACACUGUGAUGACUGCCACAAAAAGCAGCAUUAUGAGGUUGAAUGUAAAAGGAUAACCUUAGCGGCGGCGGGGGCCGGAGGAUGAAGGAAGGCUUCCUGAGGUAGGCGCUGGUUGAAACUGAAGUUGGAGAGAGCAAGUGGCAUUUGCUGAAGUGCAUUUCCGGUAGAAAACUCCAGUGGUCCCUCACCUGACUGAGUGGCGCAGUCAGAGAUAAAUGGAACAGAGUCUACAAAUAAACAUUUUAUAAAGAUGAUCCUUCAAUACAUAUUCUACAGCCCAGUUAAAAUGUGAGAGGCCAUGAUCUACAGACAGCCAUUUAUAAAGGUGGAUCAGGGCCGGACACGGUGGCUCAACGUCUGUAAUCCCGGCACUGUGGGAGGCCAAAGCGGGAGGAUCGCUUGAGCCCAGGAGUUCGAGACCAACCUGGCCAACAUGCUUUAUGUGAUUGACACAGACAUGGAAGAGAUCUGGUCCUUAUGAAGAAUUCUGUGCUCGCAGGAAAGAUCUGUAGGAAUAAUGAAAUGCUUUCUUCAUUGAUGAGAUGAAGUCUCUGUUUUUCAGGCAAGUUGACAGAACAAAACAAUGAGAAACGAACUUCUUUAGAAGGUUGAAUGAAAGUAAGAUCUAGAUGAAAAAGUCAUUGGCCAAAGAUAAUUUUUUAAAAAAAACAUUCUAUGUUAACCCUUGGAAAAAAAAACAAAAAACAACCCAGAGAAAU